GACGAACGCUGGCGGCGUGCUUAACACAUGCAAGUCGAACGGAAAGGCCCUGCUUUUGUGGCGUGCUCGAGUGGCGAACGGGUGAGUAACACGUGAGUAACCUGCCCUUGUCUUUGGGAUAACUUCAGGAAACUGGGGCUAAUACCGGAUAGAAGCUCCUGCUGCACGGUGGGGGUUGGAGAGUUUCGGCGGUUGGGGAUGGACUCGCGGCUUAUCAGCUUGUUGGUGGGGUAGUGGCUUACCAAGGCUUUGACGGGUAGCCGGCCUGAGAGGGUGACCGGCCACAUUGGGACUGAGAUACGGCCCAGACUCCUACGGGAGGCAGCAGUGGGGAAUAUUGCACAAUGGGCGGAAGCCUGAUGCAGCAACGCCGCGUGCGGGAUGACGGCCUUCGGGUUGUAAACCGCUUUCGCCUGUGACGAAGCGUGAGUGACGGUAAUGGGUAAAGAAGCACCGGCUAACUACGUG
rnacentral:rRNA from 1 species